GGGGAAUAUUGCACAAUGGGGGAAACCCUGAUGCAGCAACGCCGCGUGAGUGAUGACGGUCUUCGGAUUGUAAAGCUCUGUCUUUAGGGACGAUAAUGACGGUACCUAAGGAGGAAGCCACGGCUAACUACGUGCCAGCAGCCGCGGUAAUACGUAGGUGGCAAGCGUUGUCCGGAUUUACUGGGCGUAAAGGGAGCGUAGGCGGAUUUUUAAGUGGGAUGUGAAAUACCCGGGCUCAACCUGGGUGCUGCAUUCCAAACUGGAAGUCUAGAGUACAGGAGGGGAAAGCGGAAUUCCUAGUGUAGCGGUGAAAUGCGUAGAGAUUAGGAAGAACACCAGUGGCGAAGGCGGCUUUCUGGACUGUAACUGACGCUGAGGCUCGAAAGCGUGGGGAGCAAAC
rnacentral:rRNA from 1 species